ensembl:lincRNA
GUGAGAUUGUAAGUAAUCACCAGCCAUGAUGGAGAAAAAGAGCAAUGAAGGAGAUGGAGCAUUACCCUGGCUACAUUCUGCCUGAAGGCAUAUGGAUCCACUCAGCUGCUGAAUUUGAAAGAGCUGUGUCCUUUUCAUGCGGAAGAAAAAUCAUCGACAUAACCCUCUUCCACCCCUACUGAAGGCACUGGAGGAC